rnacentral:rRNA from 1 species
UACGGAGGGUGCAAGCGUUAAUCGGAAUUACUGGGCGUAAAGGGCAGGUAGGCGGAUCUACGAGUUUUUUGUUAAAGGCUACGGCUCAACUGUAGUAGAGCAGGAGAUACUGUAGGUCUGGAAUGCGGUAGGGGAAGACAGAAUUCCUGGUGUAGCGGUGGAAUGCGCAGAGAUCAGGAGGAAUACCGAAGGCGAAGGCAGUCUUCUAGGCCGUAAUUGACGCUUAACUGCGAAGGUGUGGGGAUCAAACAGGAUUAGAUACCCUGGUAGUCCACACAGUAAACGAUAAUCACUAGAUGUCGGGUUCUAGAUGGAUUCGGUGUCGGAGCUAACGCGAUAAGUGAUUCGCCUGGGGAGUACGAUCGCAAGGUUGAA